CCUACGGUAUGCAGCAGUGGGGAAUAUUGGACAAUGGGCGAAAGCCUGAUCCAGCCAUGCCGCGUGUGUGAAGAAGGCCUUCGGGUUGUAAAGCACUUUCAGUGGGGAAGAAAGCCUUGGGGCUAAUACCCUCGAGGAAGGACAUCACCCACAGAAGAAGCACCGGCUAACUCCGUGACAGCAGCCGCGGUAAUACGGAGGGUGCGAGCGUUAAUCGGAAUUACUGGGCGUAAAGCGCGCGUAGGCGGUCUGAUAAGCCGGUUGUGAAAGCCCCGGGCUCAACCUGGGAACGGCAUCCGGAACUGUCAGGCUAGAGUGCAGGAGAGGAAGGUAGAAUUCCCGGUGUAGCGGUGAAAUGCGUAGAGAUCGGGAGGAAUACCAGUGGCGAAGGCGGCCUUCUGGACUGACACUGACGCUGAGGUGCGAAAGCGUGGGUAGCAAACAGGAUUAGAUACCCGUGUAGUC
rnacentral:rRNA from 1 species